GACGAACGCUGGCGGCGUGCUUAACACAUGCAAGUCGUACGGUAAGGCCCUUUCGGGGGUACCCGAGUGGCGAACGGGUGGGUAACACGUGAGUAACCUGCCCACAACUUUGGGAUAACGCUAGGAAACUGGUGCUAAUACUGGAUAUGUGCUCCUGCUGCAUGGCGGGGGUUGGAAAGCUCCGGCGGUUGUGGAUGGACUCGCGGCCUAUCAGCUUGUUGGUGGGGUAGUGGCCUACCAAGGCGGCGACGGGUAGCCGGCCUGAGAGGGUGACCGGCCACAUUGGGACUGAGAUACGGCCCAGACUCCUACGGGAGGCAGCAGUGGGGAAUAUUGCACAAUGGGCGCAAGCCUGAUGCAGCAACGCCGCGUGCGGGAUGACGGCCUUCGGGUUGUAAACCGCGUUCAGCAGGGACGAAGCUUUUUGUGACGGUACCUGCAGAAGAAGCACCGGCUAACUACGUG
rnacentral:rRNA from 1 species